GCGGGGAUAAAUAUAUAUAUAAAUAACUCUUCGCCUGCUUUUGUUCCAGAAGACGAUUCGCGAAACGGAAAGGAGAGGAAAGCGUGGAAAACUAUGAGAAGGCGCGCAAGGGAGAGGAAGAAUGCUUCCGAGAAAACCCUCUCUCGCUAUCGGUUGGAUCACGAUGGGCAAGCGGCGCUGUGGCCGCACAAAGGGAAUCGAGAGCUGGCCGGCAUCGCGUGUUACCGUUUCCCUCAUUUGCCUGGCGGUGCGAGCAGGAUCUCCCGUGCAAAGGGUUUGGCUGAGGAAGGUUUGUGGAAAAGGUGUUGAUCGGUGAAAAGGUCGUCUCGUUUCGUCGCUAUCCGGGGAGAUUGGUCGAAAGAAGUCGCGAGGAACGAGGGGCGAUGCGUGAGCGUGCGUUUGCAUGCGAGCGAGCAUUCUGAGAAAUUCUCGCGUCGUACACGUGUUUACCUACACCUGUGUGCAAGUUUGCAUGCGCAUGCUUGUAUAUAUAUCGGCAAACGAAAUCUCUUUCUCUCUCUCUCGGUGGCUUCCUACACGAGAGACAGCUACGCGCAGCUACCUGUAACAGAGUGUAUUCACCUGGCGGCGUCGUUACCUGACACGUACCCGCCUCCUACCCCUCCUAAUCACGGAAUUGUCUACGCCGCUUGCUGCGAUCCGCGCUGGAUCAGACGAUACCCAGCGGGAAUUAAAUUGGAGGAAGUUUUGUGAACGCGACAUUAGUGGAUCGAAUCGUCGCAGAGAUCGAGGAACCGGUGGACUUUUGCAUAUUUGUUUUUUGUGAAGGUAGGCAAGAACGAAGUGGAAAUUAUUAUCGGUAACGAAAUAAGAGAAAAAUAAUCUGCGAAUCUGUUUUCAUUCGGCACGUUCGCCGGAGGUGGAGUGCAGGUUUUUUUAAAGAAAGACGAGGCGCGGCGAGGAAAACGCUUUUGCAGGAUCAGGGAGUGCAGUGCACGGGGGUACAGAAUAGGGUAAUUUGGGUGGUCGCUACGUCCACGGAAUGUGAAACGAGGGCAGCUGCCCUGUGCAACCGUGUCUCUUUGCCUUGGAGUUCCGCACGGCCAAUUUCACCAUUGCGAAAGGGCGCAAUACGCCUCUGUGUCUGUUGUUAUCGAAAGGAUGGAACACGUGACUCCAUUUUCAUAUCCACCACCAAUCGUUAAUCAUCAGAAUUUCUCGAUAUUUCCUGCUACGAAUAGUUGAACAAGUCCAAUUUUCGAAAUUAAGACAACUUUUCUUCCAGAUCGUUAGUUUCAACGAGAAUCGUCGUUUGAUUUCGUGCGACAAAACAACACGGAGAAAAAAGAAAGAAAGAAAGAAAGAAAGAGAAGCAAAAUGCGUCGAAUACUUUGAAUAUCUUCCCUCUGUAGAAUUCCAUACAUAUACUUAUUCAACGUUUGAAUUUAUUCCACGUAUGAGAGACUUUCAUAACACCGUAUGAAUGAAUAUUCACACGCAGUCGUGUUUCAUCAAACAUCGCGAAACACGUUCACAUGUUGAAUAGAACCAAGAAACCGACAAUUUGAUCAGAUCCACGCGACGAUGAUCCAGAACGAUUAUCCCCAAUGAACUUUCAACGAGUUCACCUCGCUCGAAAUCAGGAUGAUCGGCAAUGAGACCGACGCCCCCCUUCCCCCUCUCCCUUUUUAUUAACCGUCACCGCGAACGCGUCAUAUAAAUGCGUAUUGAGUUGUUCAUUUAAUGGCGAGUGUCGCGCUGAAUAUACAGCCCACACAACGCGCCACGACGGACACACUUGCCGCAAUUUUAUUGUCGGCAAAGAAGCCACUGUGCAUAAACGAUCGGCCCCAGCCUGCUCACUGACCUCGUACACCUGGCUCGACCAUACUCGAGCCUUUACACUCUCCUCCCCUCCCGAAUUAAAACCAUUAUCCCUCCUCUUUUUCGAUAAUAAACGGAUUGGAUCUGAUUUUCGAUCGAGGAAACGAUGUGACCGAGACGUAAAGAGAAAUUGUGAAUAAUCUUCCUCGAGUUGGGGCCCAGCCACAGGAAGUCGAGGCGAAGAGGAGGACGCGUGCAUGCGCAAGAGCAAUUUCGUCGCGAGGUAUCGAAGGGAUACGCGCAUCCUUCCUGUCACAUCUCAUUACCAUAAUACGGGCCGUAAUUACGACAAUUAGCAUGGUAAUUAAGAAAAUUGCCAUUCGUCUCGUUUCCGCGAGGCCCUCUGAUCUAGGCUUGCUCUACCAGGUCUGCGAAACCGAACGCCCUCUCCUCGUCUUUUCCAUCGAGAGCCAUCUUGCGCGCCCGUUUCCCUCGGCCAAGAGUUUGCAUCCAAUUAAAGCUUAAUUAGUCAAGUCGACUUCCUAAUGACGCUCCCUCCGCGUUUUCCUUGGUCACGGAGACACACGGAGGAGGAACCAACCCAACCGGUAUUGUUCCUCCCAAGGAGGAGAGGCGAGAUUCGUUCGUUGACGAGCAACGCAUCGGUGAACGUGUAUACAUAUAUCGUGGAAUAUUUCUUCGAGUCGAAAAAGAUUUGUUCUUCUAUCGAUGGAAAAUAUUGAGAAACGAUAGCAGCAAGAGCAUAUAACGAAGUUCGUGUGUUUGUUUACAUUGAAAUGGAAAUAUUUUUUCGCUAAUUAGAGAUGUAAUUCAAUUAGCUCCUCUCAAAUGUAAAUUUAUUUAUAUUCGAUUUGAAGAAAGAAUUUAAGUAAAUGAAAGAUACGUAUAGAGAUACGUAUGCUCAAGUAUAUUAUGUAAAAGAGCAGGGAAAGAAGCGAGAUGUAAAGGUGAACAGGGAACAUUUAAACAUUAUUCAUAACAAGUAAACAAAAGAAAGUAUUUUUUUUUUCUCGUCAGAAAUGAAUAAAUGAAUUUGUAAUUACGAGGAAAAUGAAAUUUAAAUAAGUAUUUUAAAUAUAUACAUAUAUAUAUAUAUAUCUACGAUUAUUUGAAAACACUCUGUUUUUAUACAAAGUAAAAACUAUUAAUCACCAUAAAAUAAUAUAUUUAUAAAUAUGAAUUAUACAUAUAACGGAUACAUAUGUAUCGCGAGACGGAAUGCAACAGUGAUUUGCAAUCGCCACGAAAUAUAUAGAAUUCUUCGUUUUAUUGUGAUAUAAAAUUGGAUGAUUCAUCGAGCGAACAGUGCGAUACGGACGAAUGAUCCGGAUCCCAUAGAGCCUGACUCGAUACUCUGAAAACACCUACACGUGCAUGACCGUGAAACGAACGAUGACUGGAAGAUGCUCUUAAAUCGUGCAUAGACUUAAUAAUUCAUCGUGGGUGGUCGCGUUGCCUUUUGCCUCGACAAAAAUUCGCCGCGUACGAAUAAAAGAUAAUCGUUUUUUCCCUCAAUAUAAACGAAAUAUAUAUAUAUAUAUAUACAUGGAUGGACAAUCUUCGAAUUAUCUUCGAUUUAUCAGCGAUUAAUUACGGAACGGGGAGUCGUUAAACGUUGGAUGAUCGAGUUCGAAACGCCGCCACCCUUCGAUUCACCUUGCCCUCUUUCGUCACGGAUUUAAGGAUAAGAGAAAAGAGAAGGAGAGGGAGAAAUGAAAGAAGAGAGAGGCGUUUCACGGUGAGAAAAGCGAAAGAGAGAGAGAGAGAGACGAAGAAUUUUCGAGGGGGCUCCCAAUUAAAAGCGCCGCCUGGCAGUAAAGAACUCGGUGGCUAAACUCGUUGCAAGAUCGACUACCGAGUACCGUGUUAGUCCCUUUUAGUCACGGUUCGUGGUAUGGCGGCGCUAAUAAAACCCGCAGCCAACCGUUAUAACUUGCAAAUUCAACGCGAUCUCGCCUCAGGAUAAACGGUCCCGCGUGUUCCCACAUUUUUCCCGCGACGUUUCGAAAAUUAUUGUUGUUGUUGUUAUCGGAGAAAACUGGAAAAAUUAAUUUCUUGUUAAAUUAGCGAAUAGCACAUUUUUGAAAAACGUUGUGGAGUACGUGCUCCACAAUGUACAAUGGGUUAAUAUUCAAUUGGCCUUUUGCCAACUUGUAGAAGCCGUGUCCAUUUACAUUCAGAUGGAGUUGAUAUUUCAUAAGAGCUACCAGAACGCGAUUCAAUCUCGCUGAAACGUUAAUUACGAGCCUCCAUAGGGGGCUCUUCGACGAGAACAAAAUCCCCGACAACGGGUAUACAUCCACUGGUAACAGACAACAAAGGAACAUUCAAAACAUGAUUGCCCUGUUACUGCGAUUAUGCCUUAUUAACGCGUCGAGGGAACGUGUCGAUCUCCGUGACGAGAGCGUAUAGGUGUUUGCCGCUUAUUAGCAACGAUAUAAAUUGAAUUGAUUAAGGGCGAUCACGUGCCUUGAUGCAAACUAUGCAAAUCGCUGCCAACAUAUUUGUGUACACAAACGCGAGCGUUUCGUUCCAUUUACUAUCGAUCUGUAGAAAAUGGUUGGUGUUAUUAACAUUCUCAGGACAUUAAUCCCUCGUUAUUGCGCCACUUACGUUUCUUAACGUUCUAGGAAAUAUCUACAGGAUGUAAAAAUACAAUAGUAGAAAUUUCAUUCGCUAUAAAUAGUUCCACCGUGAUAUAUGGGCGCCUCGUAACUCUAGCUCAUUUCAUACCCGAAGAAGAUGGGUACGAAGGACACAAAGGAGGGCACGAGAUGCAGAGGACAGGGGCGCGAGCUCGCUAGCUGGUUGAAUGCGUAGCAGAUUCGGUUCUCCCCCAAUCUUCUGGGGGCCCCAGAACAGUUUCGGGCCCUCUUCAGACGUUCGCCGCCGCGCAUCGAACUGUCCGUGCAAAUUUCAAUUUUAACUGCUAAUCUGCCAGCUAAUAGCCCCCUGCUCCUGCUGGUACCGCCGCCUCGCCUUUUCUCCAUCAACGACCCCCGCUCUCAAUACCCAUCCUCGCUACGCGAGUUUUUCUCUUUGCCCGAUCGGCCUGAGAGUUGUUCGUUCGACUGUCUCACGAGAACCUACGCUUCUGUCGUUUCUCUACGCUUCUCGAACUUUCGUUCACACGUACACGAGGGUGUGGACAAGAAAAAGAAAAAAAAAAGGGGGAAGAAAAAGUUGGCGGAAUAUAUUUUUUGUGUCCCGAUAAUGCGGCAAUUUUUUUCUCCCCGACCGUGUAAUCGAUAGUGUUCACUAUUAUUAGUCGAAAUUACACGAUCGUAUGACUUGUGACUUCGUUACCUCGGGUACUCUUACGGUCUCUUAGUGGGAACUUCUUAGCUGUCGUUACAGGUGGAACAACAGGAAAGAAUUGAUCCUUUCAGGGGCGAAGUUUUUGCGGGGAAAAAUUCUUCUCGAUCCUUUUCGAUCGAAACGGAAACGAAUUAUUAUUUCAGUCCGCGAAAAGAUACGGGAGUUUUAAUUAUAAAUACUUUUCUUAAUUUCGCGAUUAAUUUAAAAAUGAGAUAAUCAUCGUAAAAUUUGCACGAACAAGUCAGAGAAUUAUUCAAUUAUCCCACGAAUUUUUAAUC